rnacentral:misc_RNA from 1 species
GCAGAAAUGUGCGCAGGAUCUGGAAGAAAAUAAUUUGUCCCUUUUCCUUGAGUGUCAAAAACUCCUGGAGGCAUCUAAACUGUCAGAGAAACUGAUUUCUGAACUGGAGCAUGAAACAACAAGUGGAAGUGAAAUCUUUAUAUGAUCAAAUUGAAGUGCUAAGAGUGGGGCUUUAUAGGGUGCUGAAAGCUCUUGAACUUGAAGCAAAACAGGGGUGUGAAGACAAGGCUGAGCAAGAUCAAAUGCUUCUGAGCCAUGCACUUGACAAGCUACAAGAAACACAAAAUUUUCUCUUUGAGAUGCAAGAUCAAAAUCAACAAUUGGUCAUUGAGAAUACUGUUCUUGUUACUCUGCUUGGACAACUGCGACAAGAGGUGGCAAAUCUUGUGACAGCUAAAAACACUCUUGAUCAGGAGUUGGC